UAGCAUCGUAGAAUUUCUGU
rnacentral:miRNA from 1 species